UCCUAGGAGAGGUAGAGCUGCCUCCCUGGGUAGAAACCUGUUCCUAGGAGAGGUGGAGCUGGAGCUGGCUCCCUGGGUAGAAACCUGUUCCUAGGAGAGGUAGAGCUGGAGCUGCCUCCCUGGGUAGAAACCUGUUCCUAGGAGAGGUAGAGCUGGAGCUGGCUCACUGGGUAGAAACCUGUUCCUAGGAGAGGUAGAGCUGCCUCCCUGGGUAGAAACCUGUUCCUAGGAGAGGUAGAGCUGGAGCUGGCUCACUGGGUAGAAACCUGUUCCUAUGAGAGGUAGAGCUGCCUCCCUGGGUAGAAACCUGUUCCUAGGAGAAGUAGAGCUGGAGCUGCCUCCCUGGGUAGAAACCUGUUCCUUUGAGAGGUAGAGCUGCCUCCCUGGGUAGAAACCUGUUCCUAGGUGAGGUAGAGCUGGUGCUGCCUCCCUGGGUAGAAACCUGUUCCUAGGAGAGGUAGAGCUGGAGCUGCCUCCCUGGGUAGAAACCUGUUCCUAGGAGAGGUAGAGCUGGAGCUGCCUCCCUGGGUAGAAACCUGUUCCUAGGAGAGGUAGAGCUGCCUCCCUGGGUAGAAACCUGUUCCUAGGAGAGGUAGAGCUGGAGCUGGCUCCCUGGGUAGAAACCUGUUCCUAGGAGAGGUAGAGCUGGAGCUGCCUCCCUGGGUAGAAACCUGUUCCUAGGAGAGGUGGAGCUGCCUCCCUGGGUAGAAACCUGUUCCUAGGAGAGGUAGAGCUGCCUCCCUGGGUAGAAACCUGUUCCUAGGAGAGGUAGAGCUGCCUCCCUGGGUAGAAACCUGUUCCUAGGAGAGGUAGAGCUGGAGCUGGCUCACUGGGUAGAAACCUGUUCCUAGGAGAGGUAGAGCUGCCUCCCUGGGUAGAAACCUGUUCCUAGGAGAGGUAGAGCUGCCUCCCUGGGUAGAAACCUGUUCCUAGGAGAGGUAGAGCUGCCUCCCUGGGUAGAAACCUGUUCCUAGGAGAGGUAGAGCUGGAGCUGGCUCACUGGGACUGGACACACACAGACCCUGACUGGUACAAACUACAGCCACGGUUGCAGUGUAGUCCAGAGUCUAUAAGUAGUCGAGGAAACAUCAUGCUCUCUAUCAAGUUCACCCCAGCAGGAUCUGAGGGUGGAGGUCUUCCUCCAUCUGGGGAGCUACACAUUUGGCUGCGGCAGGCGCAGGGUCUUCUCUCCGCCAAAGGUGGCGCCAUCGACUCCUUCAUCGAGAGGUGGGUUAGAGAAGGUGUUCCCUAACUAAUUCACACAGGCCCCACUUCCAGCAUUGGGAAACAUCCCAUCUAACAUCCUGUGCCACGUCUAUUUCUAUGGGUAUAAGCACUGUUCACACCCCUCUUGAUGGGGGAGACAACAGUUUGCUGAUUUUUAAAGAUUAUUUCCCACAAUUCUACACAUUUUGUCACGGGGUGCAGAGAAAGUGUUUCAGUUUUAAAGCUAAUUUUCUUGUAAUUCUAUACAUUUGACCAUUUAUAAUGUUUAUUCGGGUGAUAUUUGAGUGGCUGAGAAACGUUAGCUGCCAUGUUAGUUGAUCUGGACAUUUCUGACAAGUUAUAAAUUGUUCUCUAAGUUACGUAAUGACUGACAAGACAAGAGGAACUGAUGAUGUACAACCCAGUUUAGUAAUGUCACCUUGUGUAUUCUACUAUUACAACCCAGUUUAGUAAUGUCACCUUGUGUAUUCUACUAUUACAACCCAGUUUAGUAAUGUCACCUUGUACAUUCUACUAUUACAACCCAGUUUAGUAAUGUCACCUUGUGUAUUCUACUAUUACAACCCAGUUUAGUAAUGUCACCUUGUGUAUUCUACUAUUACAACCCAGUUUAGUAAUGUCACCUUGUGUAUUCUACUAUUACAACCCAGUUUAGUAAUGUCACCUUGUGUAUUCUACUAUUACAACCCAGUUUAGUAAUGUCACCUUGUGUAUUCUACUAUUACAACCCAGUUUAGUAAUGUCACCUUGUACAUUCUACUAUUUACAACCCAGUUUAGUAAUGUCACCUUGUGUAUUCUACUAUUACAACCCAGUUUAGUAAUGUCACCUUGUGUAUUCUACUAUUACAACCCAGUUUAGUAAUGUCACCUUGUAUAUUCUACUAUUACAACCCAGUUUAGUAAUGUCACCUUGUGUAUUCUACUAUUACAACCCAGUUUAGUAAUGUCACCUUGUGUAUUCUACUAUUACAACCCAGUUUAGUAAUGUCACCUUGUGUAUUCUACUAUUACAACCCAGUUUAGUAAUGUCACCUUGUGUAUUCUACUAUUACAACCCAGUUUAGUAAUGUCACCUUGUAUAUUCUACUAUUACAACCCAGUUUAGUAAUGUCACCUUGUGUAUUCUACUAUUACAACCCAGUUUAGUAAUGUCACCUUGUGUAUUCUACUAUUACAACCCAGUUUAGUAAUGUCACCUUGUGUAUUCUACUAUUACAACCCAGUUUAGUAAUGUCACCUUGUGUAUUCUACUAUUACAACCCAGUUUAGUAAUGUCACCUUGUGUAUUCUACUAUUACAACCCAGUUUAGUAAUGUCACCUUGUGUAUUCUACUAUUACAACCCAGUUUAGUAAUGUCACCUUGUGUAUUCUACUAUUACAACCCAGUUUAGUAAUGUCACCUUGUGUAUUCUACUAUUACAACCCAGUUUAGUAAUGUCACCUUGUGUAUUCUACUAUUACAACCCAGUUUAGUAAUGUCACCUUGUGUAUUCUACUAUUACAACCCAGUUUAGUAAUGUCACCUUGUGUAUUCUACUAUUACAACCCAGUUUAGUAAUGUCACCUUGUACAUUCUACUAUUACAACAUUCUAGAGUAAGUUGCACGCUGGACUCAAUUCCUUGAUUUUUGAUAGAUUGUUUCACUUUUGUUUAUUAUCUAUUUCACUUGCUUUGGCAUUGUAAACAUAUGGGCACAUCCCAUGCCAAUAAAGCCCCUUGAAUUGAAUUGAGAGAGAGAGACCCCUCGUGCAACCCCAGGGGGUGUGCCCCACAGUUUGAGAACCACUGGGUUCAGAGGUCAGGCGUAGGAAUACCAGCAGUGUGGCAGACCUCAACGUCUGUAUUCCAGAAACUGGAGUUAGUGGGACAGGACUGUUUUUAGUGGAAUGUCUAUAAAAACUGUACUCUUAACUUUGAUCCAAGCUACGUGCUACAGGUCUGAGCUACGGGGCGGCAGUGUGUUGGAUGGAUUCAACUAUGUGGACCUCCAUGAUCCUGAACCCUAGCCACUGGAUAGAUACUACACUACCUAUCAGAACUAACCUGGUUAACCGCCAGAAUUAACACUGUUGGUGGAUUCUGGGUAGUAGUUUGCUGCUGUUGGUGUAUUCUGGAUAGUAUGCUGCUCUUGGUGUAUUCUGGGUAGUAUGCUGCUGUUGGUGUAUUCUGGAUAGUAUGCUGCUCUUGGUGUAUUCUGGGUAGUAUGCUGCUGUUGGUGUAUUCUGGGUAGUUUGUUGGUGUAUUCUGGGUAGUUUGUUGGUGUAUUCUGGGUAGUUUGCUGCUGUUGGUGUAUUCUGGGUAGUAGUCUGCUGUUGGUGUAUUCUGGGUAGUAUGCUGCUGUUGGUGUAUUCUGGGUAGUAUGCUGCUGUUGGUGUAUUCUGGGUAGUAUGCUGCUGUUGGUGUAUUCUGGGUAGUUUGUUGGUGUAUUCUGGGUAGUUUGUUGGUGUAUUCUGGGUAGUUUGUUGGUGUAUUCUGGGUAGUUUGCUGCUGUUGGUGUAUUCUGGGUAGUAGUCUGCUGUUGGUGUAUUCUGGGUAGUAUGCUGCUGUUGGUGUAUUCUGGGUAGUAUGCUGCUGUUGGUGUAUUCUGGGUAGUAUGCUGCUGUUGGUGUAUUCUGGGUAGUAGUUUGCUGUUGGUGUAUUCUGGGUAGUAGUUUGCUGUUGGUGUAUUCUGGGUAGUAGUUUGCUGUUGGUAGUGUAUUCUGGGUAGUAGUCUGCUGUUGGUGGAUUCUGGGUUUUGUUGCCUACGGUAGAGAUUGGCUGGGUCUAGUUUUCAAAAAGUUUGGGAAGAGAAAAUGGAAUAGGUGAGUAGACCAUCUGUCGUUUUGGUUUUCAGACCCAGUUUAUUCCAGUUGAAACAAAGGUAUUUAAGUUGGGGCUGUGGUUUGAAUGAGGAUAUGGUCUGCUAUACUUCCACAAGCCUAGCUAGGGGUUUAUAAAUCCCUUAACGACCAGUCUGUUGACUUAGACAACAAUAAGGAACUAGACAGAGGAAACUGGGAAAUUACACAUGACUGGAUGUUAGUUAACAAAGACUCUUGAUCAGAGUGCCAUUCAUAUGUUAAAACUACUGUAUGAAAGAAUGUAUCAACUUUUCUCACUCUUGCUUUCUCUCUUUCCCCCUCUCUCUCUUUCUCUCUCUCUCUCUCUCUUUCUUUCUCUCUCUUUCGUUCUCUCUCUUUCUUUAGAGUUGUAGUUCUGUGGUUAUAGAGUUGUGGUUCUGUGGUUAAACAGUUGUGGUUCUGUGGUUAUAGAGUUGUGGUUCUGUGGUUAAACAGUUGUAGUUCUGUGGUUAAAAGGUUGUAGUUCUGUGGUUAAACAGUUGUGGUUAUAGAGUUGUAGUUCUGUGGUUAUAGAGUUGUGGUUCUGUGGUUAUAGAGUUGUGGUUCUGUGGUUAUAGAGUUGUGGUUCUGUGGUUAAACCGUUGUAGUUCUGUGGUUAUAGAGUUGUAGUUCUGUGGUUAUAGAGUUGUAGUUCUAUGGUUAUAGAGUUGUGGUUCUGUGGUUAUAGAGUUGUGGUUCUGUGGUUAUAGAGUUGUGGUUAUAGAGUUAUAGAGUUGUAGUUCUGUGGUUAAACAGUUGUUUGUAACAGUUGUUUGGAAAGCUUGGCCAACCCCUUCUCCUGAUAAUGAUUAAUUACUGGGAGAUAUUGCUCCAGCCAUACUAUUAACACACCUGCUUGUACAAAGCAUGGUCCUGGUGAGCAGCUGAUUGGUUCAAUAACUUGUGUUAGAGCAGGGCUAGAGCUAAAGCCUGCACACCACUACCAGCAGAUGGCCCUGUUGGACAGCUGAUUUCAGAGUCUGUUUUCAGAACACACACACACAUACACACACAUACACAGUCCUGUACAGCUAACCUUGUGGGGACACACAAUUCAGUCCCAUUCCAAAUCCUUUUUUCCCUAAACCUAACCUGUACUCUUACCCUAAGCCUAACCUUAACCCAAAAACCUAACCUAACCUUAACCCAAGCUCCUAACUCUUAACAUAAUUCUAACCUUAACCGUAAACCUAACCCGUACUCUUACCCUAAGCCUAACCUUAACCCAAAAACCUAACCUUAACCCUAAACCUAACCCAAGCUCCUAACUCUUAACACUAAUUCUAACCUUAACCCUAAAGCCCCUUAGAAAUAUAAUUUGAUCUCGUGGGGACUAAAAAAAUGUCCCCCAGUUGGUCCCCACAAAAAUAGUUAAACACGUACAUACACACACACACACACACACACACACACACACACACACACAGAGAUAAUGUUUCUACUCUCCUUCCAUAUUGUAACCGCUGACAGACAGAUGGAGGAUGAUUGGUGGAUAAUUGAGAAAUGAACAGGAACAUGUCCAUCAUCGUGUGUGUGUGUGUGUGUGUGUGUGUGUUCUCCCUUCAAUAACCCACAAAUAUCACUACAACUGCUUCUAAUGCAAUACAAUUAGCUAAAUAUCAACAGACGGAAAUUGCAUUUCAAAUGCCAUGGGUGUCAAUCACACGAUCACGGUGUCUGAACACUGGGCUGACUGUUACGCUUCUGAAGACUAUCUCCCACAAUGCACGUGUGUUUGUCGAAGGUAUUUGAUGUCCAAACGCUGGACUAAAUGUUCUUUUAUGCUUUUUUCCCCCCGAGUCUCUGUCUUCCGUAUGAAAGGGAUGGCGGUUUGGGUCUUCAGAUACUAUUAACUGUUUCCAGUCCUAACACACCUGACCAAUGUAGAAUCACGGUGUAGAAUAAAUACAAUGUAAUCACUCCUGGUCCAGAUGAUAAAACUUAAAUAGUUUUCCUGCUUUCUCCAACUAUCUCAAUUUUCCAAACAUUAGUUAUUUAGAUAUUUUUUUUUUGACAUUUAAAAUGAUGUGGAAUGAUCGAGACAUGCCUUCCCAAAUAAUGACUGAUUUUGACAAAAUGUAAUAAGAAGGCCUAGUUUGCCUGGUGUAGAGCCAGAUGGGGCAUAGGGCCCAGAGUCUCAAAACAUCCCUUAUUUUACACUUCAUAUUCUUCUUUUGCGUCCAACUGGAUUAGAAAUACGCAGUGUUCAACUUAAAUGUGUGUCUCAGAUAUGAGUUGUCUGCGUUAGUAGUACUUUACUAUAUUUAACAGAUACUCUUAGCUGGAGCAGCGUUCAGAAGUGAGUUGUCUGCGUUAGUAGUACUUUACUAUAUUUAACAGAUACUCUUAGCUGGAGCAGCGUUCAGAAGUGAGUUGUCUGCGUUAGUAGUACUUUACUAUAUUUAACAGAUACUCUUAGCUGGAGCAGCCUUCAGAAGUGAGUUGUCUGCGUUAGUAGUACUUUACUAUAUUUAACAGAUACUCUUAGCUGGAGCAGCGUUCAGAAGUGAGUACAUACAUUUUUUUAACGGUCCCCUCCAUUGUAAUCAAACUGUCAACAUUACAAACCUCAGGCUCUAACAACUGAGCCUCAAGGGACUCGGGUUGGACUCUCCCUGUUUCUCCCUCUGCCUCUGAAGGUUAACGUCAUAAACAGGAGAGUAUGUUUCAUUCUGUAGAUUUCAUGUUGACGGAGGAAGGAGAAGAGGAGAUUGUGUAAUGGCCAUUGACUUUUGGAGACGAGAGUAAAUUCAAUUCUGACUGAAGGAACACAUAUGAUUAGCCUCCCAGUUGAAGCAUUCUUAAAGAGCUGUGAGUAGCAGGAGGCAGCAGGAUCAGGUGUAAAUAGUGUCCUGUUUAUUCACAGUGUUAAAGGUUGUACAGGUGAAGGACAAAACUCAGACACACCAAACACUGACAGACAUGGAGCUCAGAGACACCAAACACUGACAGACAUGGAGCUCAGAGACACCAAACACUGACAGACAUGGAGCUCAGAGACACCAAACACUGACAGACAUGGAGCUCAGAGACACCAAACACUGACAGACAUGGAGCUCAGAGACACCAAACACUGCCAGACAUGGAGCUCAGAGACACCAAACACUGACAGACAUGGAGCUCAGAGACACCAAACACUGACAGACAUGGAGCUCAGAGACACCAAACACUGACAGACAUGGAGCUCAGAGAGACACCAAACACUGACAGACAUGGAGCUCAGAGACACCAAACACUGAUAGACAUGGAGCUCAGAGACACCAAACACUGACAGACAUGGAGCUCAGAGACACCAAACACUGACAGACAUGGAGCUCAGAGACACCAAACACUGACAGACAUGGAGCUCAGAGAUACAUCAAUUACAAACAUAGAAAACAUUAGGCCUACUAUAUGGAAAUAAACUAAAGCUAUUGUUCAUGAGCAUCUGAACAUCACAUCCACGUGGAUGAUUGCAAACUGGUAAAUUACUGCAUUUUAAUCGGAAACUUAAAUCCACCAAUAACUUAACCCAAACAUUUUAUGGAAACACGAUUAGACUUGCGCACACACUGUGUGUCAUUUAGGGCAGGUGGGCCCACAAUUUACCUGCUGCGUACUGAUUAUUUUUGGUCCGUGAAUAGCUCAGUGUUCUGUCACACAUGGGGAAACUCUGUCACCGCGAAGUGUAAGGGGAGACCUCGAAAAUUCUAGACCUUCGGCUGCUGACAUUAGAGGUACCCAUCCAAGAAGGGUCAAGGUCAUUGGUCACAGAUAAAAUGACGUCAAAUCACGAUAUAUCUACAGUAGCUUUGAUUGGACGGAUCAUGUCAACAUCAUACUUUCAAAAUAUUAGCUAGCAGUCAUCAUCAUGAAUCAAGUCGAAAAUCUACUGGCAAAUCCUUUUAAUCCUUGUCAUAUGAAGAGACAUUAAGAAGAGAAAUGACAGAUAAACCAUAUCGGUGCUCAUCGGCCAUUGGACAUAAACAUUACACAACAAUGAGUGGUUUGGAAGGAAGUGAGCACAGCAGAACAACGUGAAUGUCACGCCUUGACCUGAGUAUUCUUUGUUUUCUUUAUAUAUUUUGGUUAGGUCAGGGUGUGACAUGGGCGAUGUAUGUGUUUUUGUACUGUCUAGGUUUUUUUGUAGGUUUAUGGGGUUGUUUACCAUCUAGGUGUUUAUGUAUGUCUAUGGUUGCCUAGAUGGGUUCUCAAUUAGAGGCAGCUGUUUAUCGAUGUCUCUGAUUGGGCAGCCAUCUUUUUGGGGGUAUUUCGUGGGUUAUUGUCUAUGUGAUGUUGCAUGUUAGCACAGUGUUUCAUUAGCAAUCACGGUCGUCUUAUUAUAUCGUAUAGUUUGUUCAGUGUACUUCGUGUUUUUCGUCAAUCAUUAAAUCAUGCAUUCACACCA